ACAGGAAACGGGGAGAAGUCCAGCCUCUUCAGUGUCAGGAGAGCGCUGUAGUUGGUUGGGGAGUCUAGCAUUCAACCCGUCUCCAUGGCUGGGAUCUGGGAAGCUACGGGGAGCUGAUUUAGGCUAUGUUGAAGGUUGUAGUAGCCAGUGAGAGACUACGUUCCUGGAGGUUGUUGCAAUGAGUGGGCACAGUUUUGGGGGGGUAUUACUUAUUUUCUUACCUUUAGUUUGAUAGUGCCGAUCGUUCUUGUUUCUUUAAACGCGAACUGUACUUCUUUUUUUAAAAAAAAAGAAGAUAAGCAGUGUUCAUUUAGGUUAGGACGAGGCAAAAAAAAAAGCAGCUGUUGUUUUUUCUACCUUAACUAAUCUUAAAGAAGAUGAAGAUGACUGUGGAUUUCGAGGAAUGUCUGAAAGACUCUCCCAGAUUCAGGGCUGCAAUUGAAGAGGUAGAGGGAGACGUUUGCGAGCUGGAAUCUAAGCUAGAUAAGCUGGUAAAGCUGUGCAUUGGAAUGAUAGAUGCCGGAAAAGCAUACAAUACAGCCAACAAACAGUUUGUUAAUGGAAUCAGAGAGCUCGCCCAGCAGUCUGCGAAAGAUGUGGUCAUUGAGUCCAGUUUGUCGAAGUUUGCAGAGAGUCUGCAGGAGAUGAUCAAUUAUCAUACUAUCUUAUUUGACCAAGCCCAGAGAUCUCUUAAGUCACAGCUGCAAAUGUUUGUGAAAGAGGAUAUUCGGAAAUUCAAAGAUGCCAAGAAACAGUUUGACAAGGUGAGCGAGGAUAAAGAAGGCGCUCUGGUGAAGAAUGCUCAGGCGGCACGCAACAAACAGCAUGAGGUGGAGGAGGCCACCAACAUCCUCACCGCGACCCGGAAGUGCUUCCGACACAUCGCCCUUGACUACGUGCUGCAGAUUAAUGUCCUUCAAUCCAAAAGGAGAUCUGAGAUUCUCAAAUCGAUGCUGUCUUUCAUGUAUGCCCACCUAACCUUCUUCCAUCAGGGCUAUGACCUGUUCAGUGAGCUGCACCCAUUAAUGAAAGAGCUGGGAGGGCAGCUGGACCAGCUGGUGGUGGAUGCAGCCAAGGAGAAACGAGACAUGGAGCAGAAGCACUCCACCAUCCAGCAGAAGGCUGCUCUGCAGGUGGCAGAGUCUGAUUCAUUGCCAGAUGUCCGCUGCUUUUGUGCUUGGAGCUCGACAGCUGACUUCUCGAAUGACGACACCAAGCUGGAGUACAAUGUGGAUGCAGACAAUGGAAUUGCCAUGGAGGGUUAUCUGUUCAAAAGAGCGAGCAAUGCCUUCAAAACAUGGAACAGGCGCUGGUUCUCUAUUCAAAAUAAUCAGCUAGUUUACCAGAAGAAAUUUAAGGACAACCCCACGGUAGUGGUGGAGGACCUGCGGCUCUGCACGGUGAAGCACUGCGAGGACAUCGAGCGCCGCUUCUGCUUCGAGGUGGUCUCGCCCACCAAGAGCUGCAUGAUGCAGGCCGACUCGGAGAAACUGCGGCAGGCCUGGAUUAAAGCUGUGCAGAACAGCAUCGCCACGGCAUUCAGGGAGAAAGGAGAAGAUGCCGAGAAGCUGGACAGGAAAUCUUCCACGUCCACCGGCAGCCUGGACUCGGGCAGCGAGCCGAAGGAGAAGUCUCUGAAGGGCGAGAGCGCCCUGCAGCGGGUGCUGGCCAUCCCGGGCAAUGCCGUCUGCUGUGACUGCGGGCUGGCAGACCCCCGCUGGGCGAGCAUCAACCUGGGCAUUACGCUGUGCAUCGACUGCUCAGGCAUCCACAGGAGUCUAGGUGUCCACUUUUCCAAAGUCAGAUCUCUAACGUUAGACACCUGGGAGCCUGAACUGCUAAAGCUGAUGUGUGAGCUGGGGAAUUCUGUCAUUAACCGAAUAUACGAGGCUCGGAGGGUGGAGCUCGGAGCCAGAAAGCCACAGCCUGGCGAUCCAAGGCACGAGAUCGAAGCUUACAUAAGAGCGAAGUACGUCGAGAAGAGGUUUGUGCGGAAGCCGACGGCGGCCGAGCAGAGGUCGAAGGUCAUAGCCUUGAGCAAGCAGGAGAAACGCCUGAGCAGCAGUUCAGAGCACCUUCCUCCGCGGGCGCCCCCACCCACACCCAAACAGCACCCCUCCUCCAAUGCGUCAGCAGCCGCAACCUUCAACGAGGAUACCCGCCGGGAGUCUCUCUUCUGUCCCGAUGAGCUUGACUCGCUCUUCUCCUACUUUGAUACCUCCUCAAAGCUGCGGAGUAAAAAGAGUGCCGACAGUGGGAUCCAGAACAGCGCUGAUGGAAGCAGGGAAAUGCUGGCCUCCACCCCCUCCACGAACAGCUUGAGCGAACCGGAGGGCCCCGAGACGCCUGCCCCCCUGGCUGGGCCCGAGCUGGUGGUGUUCGCCGAGCCCAGGGAUUUCUCUCCGGGCCCACAGCUGUACUGGGCCUCCUCGGCGCGCAGCCUGCCGGACAUGGCCGAGGCUCUGGCCCACGGGGCCGAGGUGAACUGGGUGAACACGGAGGACGACAACAAGACUCCCCUCAUACAGGCUGUCCACGGGGGUUCCUUGGUGAGCUGCGAGUUUUUGCUUCAGAAUGGCGCAAACGUCAAUCACCAAGAUAUUCGCGGCAGAGGACCCCUCCACCACGCCACUAUCCUGGGGCACACAGGGCAGGUUUGCUUGUUCCUGAAGAGAGGGGCCAGUCAGAACGCCGUGGAUGUUGAAGAUAAGAGCCCCUUGUCGAUAGCUGUGGAUGCUGCCAAUGCAGACAUAGUCACAUUGUUGCGUCUGGCCAAGAUGAACGACGAGAUGAGGGAAGCCGAGGGCCCCUAUGGGCAGACAGGUCAAUAUUCCACCAACAGCCACACUGAGAUGCAGUACAGGAAGUGUAUACAGGAGUUCAUCAGCCUGCAGCUAGAAGAGUCUUAACAGAAGUGUCUGGAAAUCCAUGUACUUGUUAAACCCUGCAGUGAGAUUAUUAAUGUGAAGUAUCUGAAGUAUCCUUUUUGUUUUAAUAUCAUAUCUCAAAUAGGUUGAAAAGGAUGUUGUACAUAAUGCAGGGUACAUGCUAGACAUGUAUUCACACAGGAACAUGCGAGACCAAGCCAUAAAGCUGUGACUAGUGGAUGGCAUUUGUUAUUUUGCAGUGAAAAACACCACAGCAGUCUGAAUUUAACGGCUCUGGCGUUGAAGCCUGAGAAUAACAAGUCAGGGUGCUUUAGUGGAUAUGCAAACACAUACUGUAGUAGUAUUUCUUAUGGUUCCAUGCUUGCAUACUGAUUUUGUGUAAUUUACAUAGAUGAAAACUGAUCAACUUUUUAAUUUCUUUUUUUUAAAUUAAGUUAUAAAACCGCCAGCAUAAGAUUUAAUGAUAGUUUUAAAAUGGAAGGCAGUAUGCAUCAAUGGAACCAUACAAACAAUGUACAGAUCAUGUAUGUUUGUAUAUUAAUAUAUAUGUAUAUUGGGGGGAAAAACAGGAUUGUUAUCCUAAAAGGUCUUUUAUAGGAAAAUGAGCAGUGUAUUGUAGAUGAAAAGGGUUUCAUACAGUAUUGUAAAUCACUGUAUUGUGUACACACUUUGCACAAAGGCGGAUGAUGUAAACAUAUUUAAGGUAUAAAUAUCUUCCAGUUGCAUUUUCUUCUUUAUAUUUAUAACUUUUUUUAAUGGUCUUUUUAGCUAUUGAGUGUACAAUUGCCUGACAGUACUCAUAUAAUCAGUGUCUCUGCGUCCCUUCACAACCUUUCUGAUCUCUGGGUUAGAUGCUGGUGUUAAAUCUGAAUUUGGGUACUUUAGUCAGGGAAGAUUGCCCUGCAGUGGAUUAGAGUCCCAUCCCGAGUGUGCCCUGCCUUGUGCCUGUUUCUUGGCAGGAUAGACUCCAGCUCACCCCACAACCCUGAACUGGAUAAAGAGGUUAGAAAAUGGAUGGUUGGAUAGUUAGGGAAAACAUUUUUCAGCAUUUCCUGUCAGUGCAGCACUGAAGAAGAACAUUAAAAAAAAUAGAUAUGAGUGCUUACUCUACAAGCCCAGUGUCACAAAAACACCAAUCUAGACUGCUAAUUUCCCCUCCCCCCUUAAAAUGUAAUAAUUCAUGUUAUCACAACAGCCUGGGGGCCAUUUAGCAAACUACAGUUCGUAGUGGGACAAGACAUGACAGAACGUUUGCAACAACUGGACUUCUACAGCUUGGUUUCGACACUAGCAGCCUGGUUUUAAUUGGUUGAAUCAACAACACGUGUUAAAAAUGUCCCCCAUAAGACUGGACACUGAAUAUCCCUGUCACGAUGUUUCAGGUCAGAGCGAUGAAGCCAGGGUUUUCAGACAUUAGCUAGCCAUGCUUUGUCAAAAUAUUCCUUAAACUAUUUUUGUUUUGAAAUAUAGUGUCUUAAAGUAUACCACAAGCAUAAAGCAGUAUUGCCUUCUAUGCUUUCUUAGAUGGAUCUUCACUCUAGUCUUUUAGUCUGUUUCCUCAAGAUUAUGCAAGCCUAUUUUGUCAACUGAGUUUAUAACUUGUUAUUCUUAAUAAUUUCCAUUGUAUAUUUUCCUGGAACAAGGUGGGUGAGAUUAUUCACAAGAUUUAUUUACUGUUGCUCUUAACUUGUAGGGAACCAUCUUCAUUUCCAGUAAAGACAUUUGUAGUUGUUAUGGACAGGAGAUAUGUUGUUUCUUGACACGAGGAAGUCAUGAAGAUAUACAUUUUUCUAUUUUUUUUUAACGAGGACCACAGUUUGGUUUUUAGUGGCUAAUUCAUCCAAAGAUCUUAUCGAGCUGUUCUUUUAAAGAAGCCAAGGUAUCGGCUUUAACAACAUGGCUAGGUUGCUUGUUCCAUUCUCCCACAACACUUUAUGUAAUUAAGCCCCUCCUGAAUUAUAAGAAGUCAGAUAGAAGAUAGACUUUCUCUAACACGCAGUUAAACCUUCCCAUGCAAAAGGUUAAUAGUUCGUAAUGUACUGUCAGACGCAGUGAACAUGUUUGUUUUUUUAAUCCAACUACCCUGAAAAGUGUGAUCUUCAGCAAAUUAUCUGAAAACCUGGCGAUAUAUUAAACAAUGCAGAAAAAUGCCGAUCUCUGUUCUGAGUGAGGUGAGUUGCCUUCACUUGCAUGGCAUUCAAGGUGGAGACGUGUUUAUACAUGCCUUUGAUUAUGUGACUUGAGCACAUUUUCUUAUGGAUUAGAAACUAUGGCAAAUAUUUAUACUUAAGAAGCGUAGCUAAGCAUUUUUUUAAAAGAAGCUGUGCACGUUUUGAUCACUCUUUUAUCCAUCUUAAUAAGGCUGUUUGGACCAACCAGAGAUCAAUGGGAUUCUUUAGCUCCUAACUACCAAACGGGAUAUAUGGGCCAAUUGGCUUCCUUUUGAUUGUAACCUUUCUUAUACUCUUGCCCAGCUUCAAAAGAGGACCUGAUCUUAUUUAAUUAUUGCUUUUAUGGAUGCUAUUUUGUACCAAGUGCGUUUGUAACAUAUAGGACAAUUAUUCUGAGGUGUAAGGCAUCACACAUUUAAACAAGGACUAAAAUCACGACCUGCUUUUCUUGUCGAGUAUGGGCAUCGGUCCUGUGAUUCACGUUAGUAAAACACCGAAAGAGAAACUGCUGAGUUCACAGUUAACAUUGAUUUUUUGCUGGGGGGGGUGGUGAGUAGACAAGUUCUGACCUGCCCUACCAGGGGAGGCCAAUAUCUGUGUAAUCUGGAUUGAGAUGUUGAUUGAGGGGUGUGAACACGUGACUGUGGCCCUCCACACACUUGGAGUCUGAUUGCAAUAUUGCUUUAUUUUCACUUGUCGACAUUUUCUUACAAUUCAGUAUAGUUUUGACACGUCAACUGGCCAUUUUAUUUUAAUUUAUUAAACUGAUUUAUUUAAAAUCUGUCUAAAAAAAAAAUUGACACAAGGAAUUUUUUCGAAUUUGUAGAAUUAUUCGUUAUCCCCAUUACUCCAAAGAUGCUACAGGAGACAAGUUUAGUGUUGUGACAGCAAGUCUCAUUCAGGAGUCUAGGAAAACCUACUGUAUGUUUAGAUAUCAGUCUUCUAAACUAUGACAGUGAGUAAUGUCUAGGCAAUAUAGAUAGUUGUCUUCUAGUUGCAGAUUCCUAAAAUCUUUUAGUGAGAACUUGAGUGGGUUUUUUGCUUCCAGCUGUAUUUGGUACCGUAUAUGUAGAAACUAUACUGAUGCUCAAAAGAAAUGCAUCAUUGAGGUCUAAUGACUUAUUUUUCAGAUAUCUUAAACAGAUAUCAAACGAAAUCAUAGCAAAAGUGACUAAAAAGUGUAGUUUAAAGAAUCACGAUAAUCUUUUGAUUAUGACGUGACCCACCUUUGAAAUUAAAACAUUUGUACAGUGUAUGACCUUCUACAGCACUAACAGUCCUGACAGUGCUGACCCGCUGGGCCACCUCUGCACACACUGUUUUGGAUGUUUGGUUGUUCCAUCUUCCUUCCUGUGCAGCUGGCUACAGUGGUGGUCACUCACUGGAUUGUUCUAGUGCUCUGCCAGUCAUAUCCUCCUGCAGUAUCUCUCCAGCAGAAUCCCCUCACGCAGCCAGUUUCCUGGUUUUUAAGGAAUAGGCUUCAAAUGUAGUGUUUCUUUUGGAAAUCAGUCUAUUAGGCUUUCUAAUGUCAAUAGAAACCAAGCAAUCGUCAUUACUCAAUGUAGGCCACAGCUGUGUGUUUUUCUGUUCUUAUAUUAGUCAAAAUAAUGUUUUUCUGUGAUUGUUUAUUUAUACAGUUUUUCUACAGAUUGCAGUUUUAACUUGUGUAUCCAGAAAUCACAUGACUUGGACUCAGUAUUUUGUUAUUCCAUGUUACAGUAUUACUUGCUCAACAGACCUUUAAAAUAAUAUUUAAACGCAGUAUUUAAAAUACAAGUUAUAUCUAUGUGCCUAAUAAUCCACUGUUGUACAACAUAAGACUGUUGCGUUUUCAUUAUGUCUCAGUAGAGAUUAUGGUGAAGUGUGAAUCCAAUAGCAAAAUUAAGAAAUAGUAUUAUUGAAGUUUAACUGUCUAGAAUAGGCCAUUCCUGAGUCUGUGCAAGAAGCAUCAGAGGAGUUACUGUGUAUUUCAAUGCAAUGUAGAUCACCUUCUGGCACAAAAUGUUUUUUUUCCAUGUUUACUGGCCUUUCCGUUACUGUUGUACUGUCUUCUAAUCUGUUGCUCUAAUCUCUCAAGGUUGUGCCUUUGCUGUUUUUUUUUUUGUUUCUUUGAGAUCCUGAGGCCAAUGCAACUAUUUUUGUACAUAAAUCCUGCACUUUAAAUACAACAAGGUUAUUAACAAAAACUUGACUAUUUUUUUUAUCUCCCAUAGAUUAUCACCACACCGCAUGCUGUCCUUUUAAGGGUACUCAUGCUGGGACACAUUCAGAGUUUAAAGUACAUCAGAACAGUUACAAAUGAGAGGAGCUCAUGAUGUCUUUCUGUCUCACUUAGUUUUACUUAAGUUUAUGGGUGAACAUGCCUCACCUUUUUUUCACAGCAAAAAUAAACAGAACCACCCCCCCACUGCCAAAAUCGCAAAAUGCUUUCUGAAAAACUAGGGGGUGCAUUUUGAAACCCAUAGUCAAUUUGCUUUAGUGAGAGUUUAUUUGCUUCACAUACAUUUUUUCACAUUUAUUAAAUAUACAAACAUGAACAACAUGCACUUACAAAUCAUGUUGGUCUGGCGAUGAAAUAUGGACCAUUACAGACCCUUUGUUUCAGAUCUUUGUUGGAAUUUUGGAAGGCAACAAAGAAGAAAGAAAAGGUCUAUAGUACUAGUAAUAUAGUAAUUGUGUGCAUAGAUGCAUGCUGUCAUGUUUGUAUGUAUGGAGAGAUUGGCAAAAUAUUCCCAUAUGUUAUUCAAGUCCUCAUCUAUAGGCCCACUAGAGAUCAGUUGAACUAGUGACCCAUAAUGGUGUGGACUCUUUAAAUCAGAUAAGAAGGUAGACAGUAUCAGAACUGCGUAGAGAAAGUUAAGUUAUGAUUACAUCUAAGCAAUUUGAACGUUUGAUUUCAGAAGCAUUAAAUGCAUACAUUUUACUCAGGAAUUCACAUUUGGACAGUGGUUGAUUUUGUACCAGCAACCCUUUGCAUUGUACUUUGGGCUCCAAGCUUUAGUCCUAAUCUCAAUCUGCCUCCUCUAAACCUUCUUCCUUAAACCUGCUUAACUCUGCUUCUCUCUGUUGAGCUGCUUUGACACUUGCACAGGGGAUGAAACCUAUCAGGAUAUUUUUCGAGAUUUUUCUCAGAUGGCGUCCAACGACCCUGAUAAACUAAACCGGUUCCAUCAGUAUGAUUC